UUAUUAUUGUUGUGGUUUUGAUAUAGAGAAUGAACACCUGGGUGGUCCACCUCUGAGCUUCAUCUCCUGCCCUUUUAAUUUUUACUUAGAUACAGGAUCUCACUAAGUUACCCUGGGUGCCCUUGAAAUUGAAUUUCUCCUGCUUUAGGCUCCUGAGUAGCUUGGAUAUAAGCAUGCACAUAUUAUUACACACAAAAAAAGAUAGAAAGGCAUCAUGUUGCUUCUAAUAGAAUUUCACUGAAAGAAACUUUAAGAACAGCAAUGCAGGAAGAAAGAAAAUAGAUCCAGUGUAAACCUGUGAGAUCCAAAGUAAAAGGAAACUAUAAUAGUUUAUAAUAUGCUAUGGAGGCCAGGUAUAGUGACAAUUAAUGUAAAUAACUUAAAACAAGAUGCACACACAACAGAAUAUUAUUCCCAAUAUAUUUGCUAAGUAUUUAGAUUAUUUUGUUCUAACAAAAGAAUAUUCCUCUGUUAAUAAUUUUUCUUCAGAGGGAAAAUUUUAUGAACUAAAGAAAACUGUUUUAAUAAGGAUGGCAAAGUAGCUUCACAUCAGUUUAGCCAGAAGCUGAACUUUCUCUCUCCAUUUGGUUUGCAUAACUUUUAUUAUGUGUGUGUCAGCACUUAUCAGCACCAAAGGACUGAUGGUGCCAUAGCCAUUGGCCACAAGCAUUUGAAGACACAACAGGAUGGGGUCACCAGUCCAUGUCAUGCCUACAAACAGUGAAAAGAUGGAGUCCACAAAGUACAAGAUCUCAAAACAGCUGAUGAGCAACAGAAUAGUGAAAACAAGGACACAGCUGGUGGGUUCUCCUUUACAAUUCUUAUCUCUGAUAUGUCAGCUCUGAGUAAUGACACCCCUAUACAAUGAAUAUGCCUCAGAGGCAGUUUUGAUUUCUAAAUGCCUUAAACUUGAGAAGAAAAUAUGGAGAGUGAUGUGGGACAUCUUCUAGCAAGAAAUCCAGGAAGGGAGCCAUGGUGUGAGGUAAGUAGGAAGAAGGAAGAGAAAUGAAGGAAGGGAGAAUUCAUGACUGAGGAGUUUCUCUGGUUGGGCAUGAAGACAGGUUAAGGGCCUCCUCAAUGAAGGAGCCACUUUUCUCUUCAUUUUGGUGAUUUUUACUGCCAUUAAUAGGUCCUCAAAUUGUCCCCUAUUGUAGUCCCUGUCUCCACCUCUCUCACCUAAGCCAUGAAAAAUAUGCAGCAGAAUGUUGCCUUCAUUAAAGACAAAAUCCACCCGAGAGGCCCAUGAGCCACACUUGUGUCUGGAGGUAAUUUCUUCAGCUUUGGCUGAAGGGUGACAAACAACUUGUGUACAUUUGGGGGGUGACAAACAACUUGUGUACAUUGAUACAGCAGGAGUG